rnacentral:rRNA from 1 species
UACGGGGGGGGGCAAGCGUUGUUCGGAAUUACUGGGCGUAAAGGGCUUGUAGGUGGCCAACUAAGUCGGACGUGAAAUCCCUCGGCUUAACCGGGGAACUGCAUCCGAUACUGGAUGGCUUGAGUUCGGGAGAGGGAUGCGGAAUUCCAGGUGUAGCGGUGAAAUGCGUAGAUAUGCGGAGGAACACCGAUGGCGAAGGCAAUCCCCUGGGCCUGCACUGACGCUCAUGCACGAAAGCGUGGGGAGCAAACAGG